rnacentral:rRNA from 1 species
GUACACGCUGUGACUAGCAUAUCAAUAAGCGGAGGAAAAGAAACUAACAAGGAUUCCCCUAGUAACGGCGAGUGAAGCGGGAAGAGCUCAAAUUUGAAAUCUUAAAGGGUUUCCCUUUACGAAUUGUAGUUUAAAGAAGUGUUUUCUGUUGAGGUUUUGGUAAAAGUUCUUUGGAAUAGGAUAUCAUAGAGGGUGAGAAUCCCGUAUUUGACCUUUACUUUCAACUUUGUGAUACACUUUCAAAGAGUCGGAUUGUUUGGGAAUGCAGUCCAAAAUGGGUGGUAAAUUUCAUCUAAAGCUAAAUAUUGGCGAGAGACCGAUAGCGAACAAGUACCGUGAGGGAAAGAUGAAAAGAACUUUGAAAAGAGAGUUAAACAGUACGUGAAAUUGUCAAAAGGGAAGCGUUUGACACCAGUGUUGUUUUUCUGAAAAUCAAUUAAAGAACUGUUUAUGCUAAGCUGUUUAGACUUUAUCAGCUAUACUGUUUAGUUUUGAGCUUUUCUUUAAUGCACUUUUCAGUUAACAAGUCAACAUCUAUUUCUUUUGCUGUAAAGAAGCUUGAGGAAGGUGGCUUGAGAUUCGUCUUAAGUGUUUAUAGCCUCUUGCCUAUGCAGUCGGAGAGAUUGAGGUCUGCAGCGUAGAUCCUUCGGGGCUAAAUGCAUUUGUGCUAAGUUAUAGCAUUUUAUAGACAACUUGUUGACUAUGAUUUGUCUUGUAGCUUACUCGCUUAUGUUAUUUUACCUACGCUUAGGAUGUUGAAGAUGUAGCACAUCAU